AAAUCCUGCGUUUAUGCUAAAGGUUUUCCCGCACUGUCAAGAAGUGUGACCGAGCAACAGAAUGACCACAUACACAGACAAAGGUGAGAAGCAUGAACAAGGCAGGUUUCUCUGCUUCGAUCACCUAACAUUUUGGGUUGGAAAUGCCAAACAGGCUGCAUCAUUUUAUUGUAAUAAACUGGGCUUUGAGCCUUUGGCCUACCAGGGUUUAGAGACUGGCAGUCGUGACGUAGUGUCCCAUGUGGUCAAACAAGGAAAGAUCAUUUAUGUCUUCUCAUCGGCCCUUAAUCCUGGAAACAAAGAGAUGGGAGACCAUUUGGUGAAGCAUGGCGAUGGUGUGAAGGACAUUGCAUUCACUGUGGAGGAUUGUGACUUCCUGGUGCAGAAAGCACGUGAACGAGGUGCAGUGGUUGUAAAGGAGCCUUAUAUCUUGGAGGAUAAAUUUGGUAAAGUAAAACUGGCGGUGCUUCAAACGUAUGGAGACACCACACAUACAUUUGUGGAGAGGAUGGGGUAUAGUGGUUUAUUUCUGCCCGGGUUUCAAGAACCUCUAUUCAAGGAUCCUUUGUUAACCAAGUUGCCUGAUGGUAAAUUGAAGUUUAUCGAUCAUGUUGUGGGGAAUCAGCCUGAUGACGAGAUGGUCCCUGUGGUUGAAUGGUAUCGAAGGAACCUUCUCUUUCAUCGAUUCUGGUCUGUGGAUGACAAGCAGCUUCAGACUCAGUUUAGUGCCCUACGUUCUAUUGUUGUAGCAAACCAUGAAGAGACUGUCAAAAUGCCCAUCAAUGAGCCUGCCAUGGGAAAGAGGAAGUCUCAAAUCCAGGAAUAUGUGGAGUACUAUGGGGGCCCAGGUGUACAGCACAUAGCCAUGAACACAUCAGAUAUCAUCACUGCUAUUCAAAAUCUGAAGGAGCGUGGGAUGGAAUUCAUGUCUGUCCCAGACACAUACUAUGAACAGCUCAAGGAGAAAUUAAAGUUUUCCAAAGUCAAAAUCCAGGAAGAUUUGGAUGUUCUGCAGGAUUGCAUAUCAUUUACAGAAGCUGAGGAUUUUGGUGGACUAUGAUGACAAUGGUUACCUGCUUCAGAUCUUUACAAAACCAGUUCAGGACCGUCCCACUGUGUUCCUAGAGGUUAUUCAGAGACACAACCACCAGGGAUUCGGAGCUGGAAACUUCAAGUCUCUCUUUGAAGCAAUUGAGGCAGACCAGCAUGCCAGAGGAAAUCUGACAGUUCUGACCCCCAAUGGAGUAACAAAAGGAAUGUAACAGCAAAAACACAAGGAGUAACCUAUAUUCACUUUUAAAUAGGCAGACAAUGUUAAUAUUUCUCUGGAUCAAGGCGGUAACAUCGACUUACAGAGAUACAAGAGAUCUGCAAUAUUUUAU